CCGCCUCAGGGCGGAGCGGCCGGGCCGGGGCCGUGUGGCCGCCUCAGGGCGGAGCGGCCGGGCCGGGCACCGCGGCGGGCGAGCAGAGGCUGCGGGCACGGCUGGCGCUCGCCCGCGGCAGCGGAGAAACCGAGAUGGGUGACGCGGUCGGGUUCCUUUGUGGAGAGACGAAUGCAGUGAUUUGAUCCUGACUUGCUGCCUGGAACAACCUGUUUUAACGUGUGAAAAGAUCUGAGGAAGACUUUAAUAUGAAGAUAUUUCAUCAAAGGAUGAUGGAGAUUACUUCUUUCUUCAGUAACCUGAGCUUCUGCAAGCACUGAACUUGACUGGAAGUUGCUUUUGGCAGUGCAGCAAGAGCCAUUGUGGCUGUACCCGAGCCUGGCCACACUGCAGAGCUGCAGCAGUCACUGCUGGCCUGACACGUUUUCUGUAGGGCUCUACCACAGCCUUACCCCCUGCUCUUGAGAUGGCCAAGCCUCUCAUUUUAGGAGAACAAACCUACAGGAUUCUUUCCAACCCAUGUUUUGCCAGUCACCUUCCCAAUGUUUUGAUACCUCUUCCCAAUUUCCUAUGCUGGUUUUGCCUUCUGAGUCCAUUCAUGACAGAGGUCACAGGGCUGACACCGUGAAUGGUUUCAAGCAUCAGCACUUUACUGCCCCCCAGUACAACCUUUACAGCCUUUUCCCUAAUCUGUGAAAUUCCCUUUCACUCUUUUGUGAUUGGUAUAUAGAAAUGAGCAUUCCCUGCUCCUUUUCCUUUGUAUGGUCACCUGUCUUACACCAGCUGCACAUUAAUGGGGUGAGAUUGCCUGCAGCACUCUCUCUUCUUUUACAAUCCAUUCUCCCACACAUUCUCUUCUCAUCACAAUACCCUGGACUAACCAAUAUUUCACAUCCACCCCCUGCUUUUUACUUUUCCCAGUUUUCUUUCAAGUUUACUCGUCUGUGCGGCCUCCAGUUUGUUUUUAUUCCCCUUAGUAGGACAGAAAGAUGAGCAGGGAAAACACCUAGACUGGGAGGCAGAACGGAUCAAAGGAGAGAGACUGCACAAGGGGCAGAAUCCAACAAGUUAAAUCACCCAAAAAACCAGGAGGGAGUUUCCUCCUUGUAACACCAAGCCCCACCCUGGAACUUCUUGUAAACUAAAUAAACCACAGUGAACUAUUCAAAAGGCAAAUGUUUAUUAGAUACACUGAACUUUAAAAAACUUUAAAGAAUUAUGCAAGAAGUAUAUUUAAAUAUAACAGGUGUUAUUGCAAUUGUGCUACAUUACAAAAUCAUUUUUCUACUGUCAGCACAAUCUGAAGACCUUAAUGUUAUAUGUGAGAUCCGUUACAUUGACUCUGGCACACAGUAAGUGGUCUGAGCUUUCCUGUUCAAAUGUCAUUUGUGCUGCACCAGGCUGUUCUUGAGGGCAAGAUCAGCUCUCCAUGGAACUACAGCUUUUGUGUUUCAGCAAAUAAAGGAACUGGCAAAGAA